UACGUAGGGUGCGAGCGUUAAUCGGAAUUACUGGGCGUAAAGCGUGCGCAGGCGGUGAUGUAAGACCGAUGUGAAAUCCCCGGGCUAACCUGGGAACUGCAUUGGUGACUGCAUUGCUGGAGUAUGGCAGAGGGGGGUGGAAUUCCACGUGUAGCAGUGAAAUGCGUAGAGAUCCGGAGGAACCCCAGAGGCGAAGGCGGCGCCCUGGCUCGCAACUGACGCUCAGACACGACAGCAUGGGGAGCGAACGGG
rnacentral:rRNA from 1 species